CCUACGGGAGGCAGCAGUGAGGAAUAUUGGACAAUGGACGAGAGCCUGAACCAGCCAAGUCGCGUGAAGGAUGACUGCCCUAUGGGUUGUAAACUUCUUUUACAUGGGAAUAAAACAGGGUAUGCAUACCCUCUUGUAUGUACCAUACGAAUAAGGAUCGGCUAACUCCGUGCCAGUAGCCGCGGUAAUACGGAGGAUCCGAGCGUUAUCCGGAUUUAUUGGGUUUAAAGGGAGCGUAGGUGGAUUGUUAAGUCAGAUGUGAAAGUUUGCGGCUCAACCUUAGAAUUGCAGUUGAAACUGGCAGGCUUGAGUACAGUAGAGGUGGGCGGAAUUCGUGGUGUAGCGGUGAAAUGCGUAGAUAUCACGAAGAACACCGGUUGCGAAGGCAGCUCACUGGACUGCAACUGACACUGAGGCUCGAAAGUGUGGGGAUCAAACAGGAUUAGAUACCCUUGUAGUC
rnacentral:rRNA from 1 species